UCAAGUUAUUAAGGGUGCAGGGCGGAUGCCUUGGCACUAGGAGCCGAUGAAGGACGUGAUAAGCUGCGAUAAGCUUCGGGGAGUUGCACGUAAACUUUGAUCCGAAGAUUUCCGAAUGAGGAAACUCACUUAGAGUAAUGUCUAAGUAUCAUUAAGUGAAUACAUAGCUUAAUGAGGGGAACUCAGGGAACUGAAACAUCUAAGUACCUGAAGGAAGAGAAAGAAAUUCGAUUCCGUAAGUAGCGGCGAGCGAACGCGGAUUAGCCCAAACCAAUAAAGUUUUCUUUAUUGGGGUUGCGGACAUAUCAUAACGAAGAGGUAUCGUAAUUGAAGAGGUUUGGAAAGACCCACCACAGAAGGUAAUAGUCCUGUAUGUUAAACGAGAAGACUUCAGAUAUGAUCCAGAGUACCACGGGACACGUGAAACCCUGUGGGAAGCAGGAGGGACCACCCUCCAAGGCUAAAUACUACCUAGUGACCGAUAGCGUAUAGUACCGUGAGGGAAAGGUGAAAAGAACCCCGGGAGGGGAGUGAAAUAGAACCUGAAACCCUGCACUUACAAGCUGUGGAAGCACAUUUCUUGUGUGACCGCGUACUUUUUGUAGAACGGGCCAACGAGUUACGUUAAGUAGCAAGGUUAAGCACUUAAGGUGUGGAGCCGUAGCGAAAGCGAGUUUUAACUGAGCGUUCAGUUACUUGACGUAGACCCGAAACCGGGCGACCUACCCAUGAGCAGGAUGAAGCGAAAGUAAAAUUUCGUGGAGGUCCGAACCCACGAGCGUUGAAAAGCUCGGGGAUGACUUGUGGGUAGCGGUGAAAUUCCAAUCGAGCCCGGAGAUAGCUGGUUCUCCCCGAAAUAGCUUUAGGGCUAGCCUCAAGGUGAGAGAUACGGAGGUAGAGCACUGAAUGUCCUAGGGGGUAUUGCACCUACCGAAGACUAUCAAACUCCGAAUGCCGUCAUCUUAUACUUGGGAGUCAGACUGUGGGUGAUAAGAUUCAUAGUCGAAAGGGCAACAGCCCAGAUCGUCAGCUAAGGUCCCUAAAUGUAAGUUAAGUGGUAAAGGAUGUGGGAUUGCACAGACAACCAGGAUGUUGGCUUAGAAGCAGCCACUCAUUCAAAGAGUGCGUAAUAGCUCACUGGUCGAGUGAUCCUGCGCCGAAGAUUUCCGGGGCUAAAACUUACUACCGAAGCUACGGCAUCAGUAAUGAUGGGUAGGGGAGCUUCCCAUACGGGUUGAAGCAUGACCGUAAGGACAUGUGGACAGUAUGGGAGUGAGAAUGUUGGCAUGAGUAGCGAGAUGUGGGUGAGAAUCCCACAGGCCGUAAACCCAAGGUUUCCAGGGGAAGGUUCGUCCGCCCUGGGUUAGUCGGGACCUAAGCUGAGGCCGAAAGGCGUAGGUGAUGGACAACAGGUUGAUAUUCCUGUACUACCGAUAACCGUUUGAGAGAAGGGAUGACACAGUAGGAUAAGCUAAGCACACUGUUGGUUAUGUGUGCCCAAGCAUUGAGGCAGUCAAAGUAGGCAAAUCCGCUUUGAUAAUGCUGGGAUGUGAUGGGGAGCGAAAUUUAGUAGCGAAGUAGCUGAUUUCACACUGUCAAGAAAAGUCUCUAUCGAGGUUAAAGGUACCCGUACCGCAAACCGACACAGGUGGGUGAGGAGAGUAUCCUAAGGCCAGCGAGAGAACUGUUGUUAAGGAACUCGGCAAAAUGACCCCGUAACUUAGGGAUAAGGGGUGCCACCAUCAGGUGGCCGCAGAGAAUAGGCCCAAGCGACUGUUUACCAAAAACAUAGGUUUCUGCUAAGUCGCAAGACGAUGUAUAGGAGCUGACGCCUGCCCGGUGCUGGAAGGUUAAGGGGAUCUGUUAGAGCAAUCGAAGCAGUGAACUUAAGCCCCAGUAAACGGCGGCCGUAACUAUAACGGUCCUAAGGUAGCGAAAUUCCUUGUCGGGUAAGUUCCGACCCGCACGAAAGGCGUAACGAUUUGGGCACUGUCUCAACAACAGACUCGGUGAAAUUGUAAUUCCGGUGAAGAUGCCGGAUACCUGCGACAGGACGGAAAGACCCCAUGGAGCUUUACUGUAGCUUGACAUUGGGUUUUGGUACUACAUGUACAGGAUAGGUGGGAGGCUUUGAAACCAGGACGCCAGUUUUGGCGGAGCCAUCCUUGGGAUACCACCCUUGUAGUACUGGGACUCUAACCAUAGGCCAUGAAUCUGGUCUUGGGACACUGUCAGGUGGGCAGUUUGACUGGGGCGGUCGCCUCCCAAAAGGUAACGGAGGCGCUCAAAGGUUCUCUCAGUACGGUCGGAAAUCGUACGUAGAGUGUAAAGGCAAAAGAGAGCUUGAUUGCAAGACAUACAGGUCGAGCAAGGAUGAAAAUCGGACUUAGUGAUCCGGUGGUUCUGCGUGGAAGGGCCAUCGCUCAACGGAUAAAAGCUACCCUGGGGAUAACAGGCUUAUCUCCCCCAAGAGUCCACAUCGACGGGGAGGUUUGGCACCUCUAUGUCGGCUCAUCACAUCCUGGGGCUGUAGUAGGUCCCAAGGGUUGGGCUGUUCGCCCAUUAAAGUGGUACGCGAGCUGGGUUCAGAACGUCGUGAGACAGUUCGGUCCCUAUCCGUCGCAGGCGUAGGAAAUUUGAGAAGACCUGUCCUUAGUACGAGAGGACCGGGAUGGACGUACCUCUGGUGUACCAGUUGUUCUGCCAAGGGCAUGGCUGGGUAGCUAUGUACGGAAUGGAUAAGCGCUGAAAGCAUCUAAGCGCGAAGCCAACUUCAAGAUAAGAUUUCCCACCGCAAGGGUAAGAUCCCAGAAAGACUAUCUGGUUGAUAGGUCGAAGGUGUAAGUGCAGCAAUGUAUUUAGCUUAUCGAUACUAAUAGGUCGAGGACUUGACCAA
rnacentral:rRNA from 1 species